GUGCCCCCCAGUCCAAUCGUGUUCCAGUUAAGCCAACAAGGAACGCGACAUUUAUCUCGAUAAGAUUACGUAGUGUCCAUUUCUCUUUGUCAAUAAUUCCACGAAUCAUUUUAUUGGUCACAUCUCGUACACAAUUUGUUGGACACUAGUUUUCUGUGGCGAGCGACUGGAAACGGGUAAUAAGUAAUCAAUAUUUGAACAGCAGCCAAGCAGAUCGUUCAACGCCAUCGUCAUGGACAGGAUAGUCACGGAUGGGUGGGAUCGAUGGCACAAUUCGACAGAAGGGUCGAUACAUACAAAUUGAAGUGCAACGAGACCAGUGGAAUUGAGUGGACUGGACUGGAAGGGCGGCCAAUUCCGAAUGGAACUGAACUCGAAAUCGGUAUUAGACUUGUCGUGCUAGACGAAUAACGAGACUCUACUUCGCGGUUGAGAGGAGAGCAUUAAACGCGAUACCGCUGCCAAGUGGACCCACCACCAAGUCUGGUACACAUUGUGUGGCACGUAAUACUACUAGGGCUUCAAAAAAGUGGCUGACCAAACAAAGAUUGUGGGAUAAUUCUUGUCUAGAAUUUACAUUGUGUCCCCUCACAAUUUUCAAAAGUGACACACACUUUGCAUGUUACUACUGCAUACAUAGCAACAUUCGUCUGAUAAAGAAUAAUUCCCCUGACUGUGCCAUAACAACCAAGUCAGUGCAACAACGGGAUCAUUUCAUAUCUAGAUUGUCCCCCCCGGCCAAGUGUGUGUUUGCCUGAUAAUGAACAACAACUCAACUUACAUGGAGGAGCCAUAUAGAUAAGCUAUAGAUGCUCUACCAUUGCGGAUCGGUAAAACUCAGCACGCGGUAACACUACUCGGAAAACAAACUUGGUUAUGUGCGUGGAAUAUCUCUAUCGACUAACCAGUACGCUGCCUCAUUCUUCAUUCCAUCUGCGUUUCAUUUGUUGGGUUUUUAUGAGAAAACGUCACAAGAAAACAAAAAAAGAAAAUAUAAUAAACAACAUUCUAAACGAACCUGGAAAUAAAUUGAGGUGCUGAUUUUGAAACUGACUUUCAACAAAACAAUAAAAGCAGUUAUUUUAAGACCAA